GCUCUCGUCUGUAUUUCCGCCGGCGCGAAACGAGCGUAGCUUCCUUGUCGUGUGGCCUCAGUCCUUCGCCGUCCCUCGCCGUCCUUCGCCAUCGCACGCCACCGCACCCCAUCUCUCGAAAUCUGCAGACAUCUUGAUUUUUCCCACGCUGUCUGUCAGGUCUCCGCCGCCACUCGACGCCAGGGCGCCGGGCCUUGUGGGCUGUGCUGCACCUCGGACGGCUUCGCACCAGCCAGCGCCCUCUCUCUCCUGCAGCACUCUGAUCUGCACCCCCUGAGGGGCUUCCACUGUCCGCGGGGUGAGAAUGCCCCUGGGAGUGUCACAUGACUGCCGCCCCAUGUGUGUGAGAGGCGUCCUCUGGGAGAGCAUGGAUCCUGAGGUCCCAGGAUUGUCAGCUGACCUCUGUCCUGUGUGCCCAGUGGCCCCAGGUGACGUGUCUUCAAGAAGAGGCUGAGCUGCGGUGCUUGUAAGAGUCAUGUGCUGUUCCUGGGGCUUGGAUGAUGUAGGGGAAGCAAGGUGAAAGUGGUAUCCCGUGGUUCCACGUUCUGUCCUGCUGUGGGGCUGUCCCUCACAUGCUUUCAGUGGCUGUUGCAGAGGAAGAGCCUCCGGAAAUCUGCGUGGGUCUCAGCCUUAGAUCCAAGGACAGUCCAAGGAAGUCCUAAGACCAUGGAGUUGGUGAUCUGGGAUCUGGGUUUGCUGAUAUUUCUCACCGUGAAUCUCUUGGUGGUGUUUGUGGGCACGAGAGGGGCAGAGAAUGGAGAGUGAGGCUACCACAUGAAGCGUCACCAGAGCUGCUCCCUGCUGCCUGCUCAGAGCACCCCGGAUCCACUGUUCAAUCUGCACAAGAUUCGGGGUCCAGACAUGGGAGACUUCAGCUGCCUCAGAGGACCGUGGACAGGGAAGGCCAGCCUCGCAUCCCUCUGUCCAUGCCUGGAAUGACUUUAAUAACCAAGAGUUUUAUUUUUGAAUUUGUAGCUGUCGUUCACUUUUUACCCACCCAUUCAAUAAACCUUACAGAAUUGCUCCAUGUGCUUCUUAAA
rnacentral:lncRNA from 1 species